AGAAAAACAAGUAUCGUGGAAUAUUGAUUAAAUUAACAUCUAAGCAAAACAUACAUUGCUUCUACAUAAACUUCAACGAACCUCUUAAAAUCUACGAUAUUCUGAUUAUGAAGACAUUCGAGGCAGUUUCGAUGUCAUUUCAUUUUGACUGCAUUCGUGGAUUGCUCCCAGGACAGACUUACAAGGUAGCCGUUAUAAUGAUGGCGCACGAUUCCACUAGCAAAGAAGUUGAAAAGACUGUUACAAUUCCAUGGGACGGAAUGACCAAUACUUUCAUAUCAG